rnacentral:rRNA from 1 species
AUUGAACGCUGGCGGCAGGCCUAACACAUGCAAGUCGAACGAGUGGCGGACGGGUGAGUAAUGUCUGGGAAUCUGCCUGAUGGAGGGGGAUAACUACUGGAAACGGUAGCUAAUACCGCAUACCAUCGGAUGAUCCAAGAUGGGUUUAGCUAGUAGGUGGGGUAAAGGCUCACCAAGGCGACGAUCCCUACCUGGUCUGAGAGGAUGACCAGCCACACUGAAACUGAGACACGGUCCAGAAUCCUACGGGAGGCAGCAGGGGGGAAUAUUGCACAAUGGGCGCAAGCCCUAUGCAGCCAUGCCGCGUGUAUGAAGAAGGCCUUCGGGUUGUAAAGUACUUUCAGCGGGAGGGCGUUACCCGCAGAAGAAGCACCGGCUAACUCCGUGCCAGCAGCCGCGGUAAUUC